CUCAGCUGGUAUGAAUGACACUAGUCCCACACUUCUGAGCUACAGUUCAAGGAGGCCUGCAGGAGACAGAGAAGUUCCACUGCAUCUGGCAAUACAACUUGCAUCCUCAAAUCUGCCUUCAAAGCUGUAAAUGCUAGGAACAAACUUUUAUCCAUGUAUCGGUCCUGUUGUUACAGUCAUCCGUGGUGGUUUACCUAAGGACAUGGAAGCUAGCUUCUGGCAACACAGAUCCCUGCUGACAAAGGAGGCAUGUUCCAUCUCCCAGUACCUCCUUUUGGUUGAAGUUGGCAAAAUGAAAGCAAAGGCUGGUCAGCACAUUUUCCAUCAUAAUCUAAGACUACGCAGAUGGAUCACAAAGAACUUCAGCAGUCAACACUACAUGCUUUAACGCG
rnacentral:lncRNA from 1 species